CCUACGGGUGGCAGCAGUGAGGAAUAUUGGGCAAUGGGCGGAAGCCUGAACCAGCCAAGUAGCGUGCGGGAUGAAGGCCCUACGGGUCGUAAACCGCUUUUGCACGGGGAUAACACACGCCACUUGUGGAGGUCUGCAGGUACCGUGCGAAUAAGGGCCGGCUAAUUCCGUGCCAGCAGCCGCGGUAAUACGGAAGGCCCGAGCGCUAUCCGGAUUCAUUGGGCUUAAAGGGAGCGUAGGCGGGCGUUCAAGUCAGCUGUAAAAUCGCGCGGCUCAACCGCGCCCCGCAGUUGAAACUGGACGCCUUGAGUUCACCACAGGCCGGCGGAAUUCGUGGUGUAGCUGUGACAUGCCUCGAUCUC
rnacentral:rRNA from 1 species